UUUCUGCCGAUGCCUUCCAUGAAUGAAUCCCCAAGGCUGGCUGGAGGCUGGAUUCUCUGAAUAAAUCUGGAAUCCAGGAGGUGAGACGAAAUUUCCAUCUUGAGAAAGAGAAAAGGAGUGCCCCUAACAGGUGGCAGGGAGCACAGAAGUGAUGUCCCACCCCCACCCACCCCUAACCUCGAACUUGCAUACCUGAUCUACAGAUGAGACUAAACCACAAAGCUCUCCAAGUUGAGGUGGAGAGAAAGGCAGAUCCCUCUUUUCUAAGCACCAAGUCGCUGAGGCAGCCCAGUGGCCAUAGUGCAGGAUUCCAGGCAGGAGAGUGAUGUUUUGGUUUUUGUUUUUUUAAUAACUAGAGGUCACAUAUAAGUCAAGGCCUGCAGACCUACCAAGACCAGAAAUACCGAUGUUUAAUGUUCUGAACAAUGUUGGGUUUCUUCAUGCUUCCCAAGGAAGGAGAAGGUGAACGAAAAUGCUGUAAAACAGAUGUUCGGAUUACUCCCCAAGAGCUGAUGCUGACCUCCACGGUGAGCCAUUGUGACCACUGAGCGGAAAAACCUGAAUGGGAUCACAAGUCACCUUGGAAUAAGAGAAGGUGAAGUGGCAAGGUUGGAGGCGAACAAGCCUCCGAGAGGCAGCCUCAGCACUGUUUUUGAAGUACCAAAGGCACCGUGAGGCCCCAUAUGAGGAUUCUUAUCAGAUGAACGCAGUUCACAGAUUGGCAACGGUAAUUCUGAGCAGCGUUGUGGGCCUGCUGUCUCUCCACCCUUAAUUAUCUCGUAUUUCAUCGUUGAGUUCCUUAUGUUUCUCAUCUUUAAGCACAGUCUAUUAUGGGCACAAAUCAAACAUCUAUGACUAAGAAGAAAAGCAAUUUAGCAUCCCUAACCAUCUCAAACAGCUCAUGUUUUUCAGCCAAAAAGACAACCUGAGCCAAAGGACGCCUGUGCAUCCUCACCUGACCUCACUGACGCUCCCUGGGGGCCCUACCACACUCCCACAGGCCAACAGCCUCUUACUGCACAUGGAAUAAACCUUACAUGAUUGCUAGUUGAUUCUUUAGAAAAAAAAAUUUUUUUUAAUUUUUAAAUCACAUGUGCACCUGUGUAUGUGGUUAUGUGCAUGAGCUCAGGUGCCUGUAGAGACCAGAAAAGGACAUGAGAUCCCCUGGAACUGGAGUUACAGGGAGUUGUGAGCCAUUCAGUGUGGAUACUAGGAACUGAACUCAGGUCCUCUGCAAGAGCUAAGGGUACUCUGCACCUCCAGGCCCUCUUUCAAGUCCCUACUUAACAGUAUGUGUGUGGUCUGUGUGUAUGCAAAUGUGCUCACACUUGGGGGGCCAGAGGUGGGUGUUAAAUGUCUUCCUCCAUGGCAGCAGUCCUCAACCUGUGGCUCAUGACCUCUCUGAGGGUCUAAUGACCCUUUCACAGGUAUUACCUAAAACCCUGGGGAAACAUGAAUAGUUACAAUUUAUAACAGUAACAAAAUUGCAGUUAUAAAGUAGCAACGAAGCAUGCUCCCUGUGUUUACCAGAGCCUGAGGAAUUGUAUUAAAGGGUCCCAGCACUAGGAAGGUUGAGAACUGCUCCUCUUUGGCUCCCUACCUUAUUAUUUUGAGACAGGAUCUCUCACUGAGCCUGAUCUUCCCCAUCCGGGCUAGCCUGCCUGGCCAGUGAGCCCCCAGCACCCGCCUGCCUCUGCAUCCCCACACUGGUAGCAGACAGAUGACCACAGCAGACUUUUGCAGGGAUUGGAGAUCUGAGCUCAGGAUUUCCUGCUUAUGCUGCAGCCACCUUAUCAACCUCUCCAGCCUUCACGGUUUCAAGCAAUGACACAAAUGUGUCCUGUGUGUACCUCACCCCAUCGUAUCAUCUACUAGCAUUUUGUAAAGCCAUGUGCAACAUCUCAGCCACGAUUCUGACCUUGACAAGAGCUUUUCCAUCUUAAGAAUUUCUCAUGUGGACACACCCACCCCCUUUUUCUCUGUUCUUUCCAUCCCCAAACUCUAGAAAUAAGUCAUCUCCUUAUUUCUAUUAUUUUCUCAUCUGGAGACUGAUAUAAAAAAUUGCAAUACACAACUUUGGAAGUGGGCUUUACUCUGCCUGGUGUUAAGCACCCAGGCUCAUGUAAGGGGUCCGAUGUGUCAACAGUUGGUUGCUUUGUAUCACAAAGUAGCAUCUCCUGUUGCAGAUGUUCCACAGUGGUUUAACCACCUAGGUUGUUUCUACAUUGGGGCUGUUAGGAAUAAAGUUGCUAUAAACACUGC